UGGUUGUUUGUUUUAUACUUCAUACUAUAUAUUAUGCACACAUAAAAGAACGGAUAGUACGAGAUCACUACAACAAAACUGUUGUUUAGCUUCAAAAUUUUUAGCGUCUGCCCUGACAUGGACGCUACUAGCGUCUCAUUUGAGUCUGCAUGACAGAUGCUACUGUGUUUUUAUUUUAAAUUUAAAUUUUAAUUGAUUAAUUAAAUAUAGAGUCUGCCUUUUGGGACACUAUGAGACGCUACGGAAAAAAGAAGAAAUUCAUAACCUUAGCUAUGUGAAUUUCUUUAAUUUGGAAUCUAUUAAAUUGGUGGAUUUAAAGUUUUCCUAGAUUCAUAGGCAAAUUUUUUGUUGCAUGUCAAAGUUAAUCUUGUUCCCUUAUUAUAACAUUUAUGUUUUUGCCUUUCAUUUAUGUCUUUAACACUUCACUUUAUCUGUGAUUAUAAUGAGUAUAUUAUUUUAUGUCGUUG
rnacentral:lncRNA from 1 species